GAUUAACGCUGGCGGCGUGCCUAAUACAUGCAAGUCGAACGGAAAUAUCCUUCGGGGUAUUUUAGUGGCGAACGGGUGAGUAAUACGUAGGUAACCUACCUGUAAGACGAGGAUAGCCAUUGGAAACGAUGGGUAAUACUGGAUAGGGACAACAGGUAAAGCAUUUUAAGUUGUUUAAAGGGAGGAAUCCGCUUACAGAGGGGCCUGCGGCGCAUUAGCUAGUUGGUGGGGUAAGGGCCCACCAAGGCGAUGAUGCGUAGCCGGACUGAGAGGUUGAACGGCCACAAUGGAACUGAGAACGGUCCAUACUCCUACGGGAGGCAGCAGUAGGGAAUUUUCGGCAAUGGGGGGAACCCUGACCGAGCAACGCCGCGUGAACGAAGAAGUACUUCGGUAUGUAAAGUUCUUUUAUUUGGGAAGAAAAGGAAAAAGAUUGACGGUACCAAAAGAAUAAGCUCCGGCUAACUACGUGCCAGCAGCCGCGGUAAUACGUAGGGAGCGAGCGUUAUCCGGAAUUAUUGGGCGUAAAGGGUGCGUAGACGGGGAAUAUAAGUCGUUUGUAAAAAUGCUAAGCUCAACUUAGUAGGGCAAACGAUACUGUAGACCUAGAGUACAGCAGAGGCAAGUGGAACUUCAUGUGUAGCGGUAAAAUGCGUAAAUAUAUGGAAGAACACCAGUGGCGAAGGCGGCUUGCUGGGCUGAUACUGACGUUGAGGCACGAAAGCGUGGGGAGCAAACAGGAUUAGAUACCCUGGUAGUCCACGCCCUAAACGAUGAGUACUAAGUGUUGGUGAGAAUCAGUGCUGAAGUUAACACAUUAAGUACUCCGCCUGAGUAGUACGUACGCAAGUAUGAAACUUAAAGGAAUUGACGGGAGCCCGCACAAGCGGUGGAGCAUGUUGUUUAAUUCGACGAUACGCGAAGAACCUUACCAGGUCUUGACAUCUGCUGCGAAGUUAUAGAGAUAUAAUGGAGGAUAACAGCAAGACAGGUGGUGCAUGGUUGUCGUCAGCUCGUGUCGUGAGAUGUUGGGUUAAGUCCCGCAACGAGCGCAACCCUUAUUUCUAGUUACCAUCAUUGAGUUGGGGACUCUAGAGAGACUGCCAUUGAUAAAAUGGAGGAAGGUGGGGAUGAGGUCAAAUCAUCAUGCCCUUUAUGACCUGGGCUACAAACGUGCUACAAUGGCUGAAACAAAGAGAGGCGAAGCCGCGAGGUGGAGCAAAACUCAAAAAAGCAGUCUCAGUUCGGAUUGAAGUCUGCAACUCGACUUCAUGAAGAUGGAAUCGCUAGUAAUCGCGAAUCAGAAUGUCGCGGUGAAUACGUUCUCGGGCUUUGUACACACCGCCCGUCAAACCAUGAGAGUUUGUAAUACCCGAAGCCGGUGGCCUAACGAAAGAGGGAGCCGUCUAAGGUAGGACAGAUGAUUGGGGU
rnacentral:rRNA from 1 species